rnacentral:rRNA from 1 species
AUUGAACGCUGGCGGCAUGCCUUACACAUGCAAGUCGAACGGCAGCACGGGUGCUUGCCCCUGGUGGCGAGUGGCGAACGGGUGAGUAAUACAUCGGAACAUGUCCUGUAGUGGGGGAUAGCCCGGCGAAAGCCGGAUUAAUACCGCAUACGGUCUACGGAUGAAAGCGGGGGACCUUCGGGCCUCGCGCUAUAGGGUUGGCCGAUGGCUGAUUAGCUAGUUGGUGGGGUAAAGGCCUACCAAGGCGACGAUCAGUAGCUGGUCUGAGAGGACGACCAGCCACACUGGGACUGAGACACGGCCCAGACUCCUACGGGAGGCAGCAGUGGGGAAUUUUGGACAAUGGGCGAAAGCCUGAUCCAGCAAUGCCGCGUGUGUGAAGAAGGCCUUCGGGUUGUAAAGCACUUUUGUCCGGAAAGAAAUCCUUGGCCCUAAUACGGUCGGGGGAUGACGGUACCGGAAGAAUAAGCACCGGCUAACUACGUG